rnacentral:misc_RNA from 1 species
GGAAGUGAAAGUCGUAACAAGGUUUCCGUAGGUGAACCUGCGGAAGGAUCAUUACUGAGUGAGGGCCCCUCGGGGUCCAACCUCCCACCCGUGUUUAACGAACCUUGUUGCUUCGGCGGGCCCGCCUCACGGCCGCCGGGGGGCAUCUGCCCCCGGGCCCGCGCCCGCCGAAGCCACCUGUGAACGCUGUCUGAAGUAUGCAGUCUGAGACAAUUAUUAAAUUAAUUAAAACUUUCAACAACGGAUCUCUUGGUUCCG